CCUGGCAUCAUCCCGACCCCAGCGAGUCUGGGCUGCGGCUGGCGGUAGGAAGCGGGCGAGGUGCCCGAACAGAAGGGAUGAUGAAGAAGGAAGCACUAGGGACAUAGGAGAAUGGCCCAGAAAAGUAGCGCGAGUCGUCGGGGGAAAUCGGAGGGAAGGGAUCGCGUCCUCACCAGACUCUAGGUCCUGGGACGUGGGGCCGAGGGCGCCAGGCGCUUUAGCCUUUUAAAGUUUCCUCCCAUCUCCCGCCCAGGUUUAAGCAAAGAAAGGGAAAAAAUUCAAUAUACAUUCAUGUAUACACAUACAUAUUCUUUACAGUUUCUUCUCUUUGGGAACCCAAUUUGAAGGAAUUUUGUUGAUUUUGUUGCCAUUUUUGAAAAAGCCCAGCAUCCGAAUGCAGCGCUGGCUUUAAAGAGAGACGGCUGCAGUCCUGGCCAUGUGCUAAAUCAUUUAUUCAUCCCCAGUGUUUCCUGGGAAGCUGGAGUGUUGCUGGCAAGAACGUGACCCGUUUUCAGUCCCGCACCAUCAAUGUGGUAACGUGAUCUGAUCAUGCUUAGGCAACAUUUAAAAAUACUCAAGUACUAAUUAAUAUACGAUUGCUUAACUUUGAAUUCAAGAAAAUGUGUUUAUCGUUAAUGAAGAACCCCCUCCUUCAUUCUGCCCUGGGGCUUUCUCCAAACCAGACUGCUUUUUUAAUGUUAGGUCUUUUUAUGGACCUGUAAGAAGCUUUAAUUAGAUAUACAGCACUCUACACAAACGACAAGAUGGAGCAUGCAGGCUUGGACUACAGUCUCUGUGAUUCAGAUCUCAGAAAUAACAUAAUGCCACCAAUUUAGGGAAGAAGUUGUUUAUUGGAAGGCAACCAGGGAGAUGCUACAAAUUAGAUCAAGAUGUGAAAAGCAAGCCGAUUCAGGAAAGAAUUGCCAUUUUCUUCUUGGGACUACCCCCCCAAAGCAGCACGUAUAACAAGGUUAUCUUCUCUAGAUAUUGUUAAUUCUCAUAAUUUAUAAAACAUUUAAAAUAAAUAUAUUGAAAACAACA